UACAGAGGGUGCAAGCGUUGCUCGGAAUUACUGGGCGUAAAGCGUGCGCAGGCGGUUAUAUAAGACAGUUGUGAAAUCCCCGGGCUCAACCUGGGAACUGCAUCUGUGACUGUAUAGCUAGAGUACGGUAGAGGGGGAUGGAAUUCCGCGUGUAGCAGUGAAAUGCGUAGAUAUGCGGAGGAACACCGAUGGCGAAGGCAAUCCCCUGGACCUGUACUGACGCUCAUGCACGAAAGCGUGGGGAGCAAACAGG
rnacentral:rRNA from 1 species